rnacentral:rRNA from 2 species
UACAUGCAGUCGAACGCACUCUCGUUUAGAUUGAAGGAGCUUGCUCCUGAUUGAUAAACAUUUGAGUGAGUGGCGGACGGGUGAGUAACACGUGGGUAACCUGCCCUAAAGUGGGGGAUAACAUUUGGAAACAGAUGCUAAUACCGCAUAAAACCUAACACCGCAUGGUGUAGGGUUGAAAGAUGGUUUCGGCUAUCACUUUAGGAUGGACCCGCGGUGCAUUAGUUAGUUGGUGAGGUAAAGGCUCACCAAGACCGUGAUGCAUAGCCGACCUGAGAGGGUAAUCGGCCACACUGGGACUGAGACACGGCCCAGACUCCUACGGGAGGCAGCAGUAGGGAAUCUUCCACAAUGGACGAAAGUCUGAUGGAGCAACGCCGCGUGAGUGAAGAAGGUUUUCGGAUCGUAAAACUCUGUUGUUGGAGAAGAAUGUAUCUGAUAGUAACUGAUCAGGUAGUGACGGUAUCCAACCAGAAAGCCACGGCUAACUACGUGCCAGCAGCCGCGGUAAUACGUAGGUGGCAAGCGUUGUCCGGAUUUAUUGGGCGUAAAGCGAGCGCAGGCGGUUUCUUAAGUCUGAUGUGAAAGCCUUCGGCUCAACCGAAGAAGUGCAUCGGAAACUGGGAAACUUGAGUGCAGAAGAGGACAGUGGAACUCCAUGUGUAGCGGUGAAAUGCGUAGAUAUAUGGAAGAACACCAGUGGCGAAGGCGGCUGUCUGGUCUGUAACUGACGCUGAGGCUCGAAAGCAUGGGUAGCAAACAGGAUUAGAUACCCUGGUAGUCCAUGCCGUAAACGAUGAGUGCUAGGUGUUGGAGGGUUUCCGCCCUUCAGUGCCGCAGCUAACGCAUUAAGCACUCCGCCUGGGGAGUACGACCGCAAGGUUGAAACUCAAAGGAAUUGAC